rnacentral:rRNA from 1 species
CAGUCGCCGCGGGAAUACAGAGGGUGCAAGCGUUAAUCGGAAUUACUGGGCGUAAAGCGCGCGUAGGUGGUUUGUUAAGUUGGAUGUGAAAGCCCCGGGCUCAACCUGGGAACUGCAUCCAAAACUGGCAAGCUAGAGUACGGUAGAGGGUGGUGGAAUUUCCUGUGUAGCGGUGAAAUGCGUAGAUAUAGGAAGGAACACCAGUGGCGAAGGCGACCACCUGGACUGAUACUGACACUGAGGUGCGAAAGCGUGGGGAGCAAACAGGAUUAGAUACCCGUGUAGUCCCUGUCUCUUAUAA